rnacentral:lncRNA from 1 species
GCUUGUUUCACGUCACUUCUUAUUUGGCUUUGGUGAGUUCUUUGUAAUAUGCAGUUGCUGUCGACAGAAAACACCUGAAGGGUGAUUGUGUGUUUGUGUGUUUAGGAGGCUUUCUUUGGAAAGGAUCUUCUAGACAAAAGCAAGCAAAGCAGACAGCAUGGAGUUGAAUCGGGCUUACUGGAAGACGGGCAAGUGGAGCGAAAACACACCAAAUACCAGCAUCCUGGACUCAUCAUCGGUGCUCAACUUCUCAGCAUCAUCCAUUCCUUCUAGAUCAGGUGCAACUGCAGAGACGUCUGAUGAGCCCUUAGUUGAUCUAGCUGAUGUUCUGAACUCUGAUGCAGACAUCUUGGGAAUGCUCGGAAAGUCAAGCAGUGAAUCUGGUGCGUCAUUUUAUCUCACAGGAAGUCACAGUAGCAACUAUCCAAAACUUUUGUUUUUAUUCUGCAAAUUGCAAGUUUAUCUCACACUAUCACCCACCUUAUUGAUUUCUUUUUCAAAUUGCAUAAAAAUUAUGUUGUUCAUUUUGGGUUAUGUUUGUCACCUUUUUUGUGCUUGGUAUGUUUGUCACUGUUUUAUUUCACUCAUUUUAUCUGGUUUUGGGUUCUUGUAGGUCUUGAUUUUUGCUCCUUCCAGGUUGACAGCUCACCUCCUCCUUUUGCCGGUCUGGACAUCGGGCCCCUGACGGACAACUCCACGGUGGGGUCUCACUCUCAGACUGGUCGGAGGACACCUCGGACAAUUGCAGACGAGCCUUUAGAUGGCAUUCUCAGCCCAGAGCUCGAUAAGAUGGUGACUGAUGGUCAGUGUAAAAGAACAAUACUUUUUUAAAACAUGCUUGUCAGUGUUUUUGAUCGUUCAAAUUUAGCAGAACUAUGAAUCUUUGAGGAUUUUUUA